GGAGUGAGCAUUAUCAUAUACCCCUUGGCACAGAUGGGGAAACUGCCGACUGGAGACAUUGAGUGGCUUGCCCAAGUCCCCACAGCUUGGCAGGGCAAGAUGUGACCUCCACUGUUUUGACUCCAGACCCCUGACUUGUUCCCCAUGCAAGGGUGCCUCCAAAUGGGGAGGGGCAGGUUGGUGGGUGAGUGUUGGGAAACGACUGAAAAGGGAGAGAAGCUCAGGCAGCAUCUUGCAGCUCCUCUGCAGUGUCUUCCAGAAGAUGCACCACCCCCUGCCCUGGCUCUAGACAUCCAGAGACCACGUUGGAGCCGUGCUGCAGACUCUCAGACCAGAGUUUCCACUCCAGAACUCUCGCCUGACCUCUGGUCCUGUACCUCCAGCAGCUUGUGGAAUCUCAGACUCAAAUACCAACUCAUCACAGGGUGCAGAAUGUCGAAGAAACUCAGGGCCCACCCCAACCACCUGACGAUGACACUCACAAUCAAAACCACGUACAUGGCUUCUACCACACACGCGCGCAGCCCUUGAGCUGAGGGUGUUACACACAGUACUGCAUUCCAUCUUCACGGACACUGUGAGCUACAAGGGCAGAGUUGAGUCGUUGCAACACAGAUGUAAAUGUAUGGCUCACGAAGUCCUCUGAGGGUUGGCUGCCAUUAUGAUGAUUACACAGACGAACAACAGCGGGUCCCAAGCCAUCCAGCCGAAAGAAAAUUUCCAAGUCAUCUGCCUUUGAAAUUAAAUAGAAAGUAUGAAAUGAACUCAGUACCUUGCUGUGUGACCUCAGGUUCCUGAUACCUCACCCACUCUCCCUAUCUUGGGAGAGGGAAAAAGUAGUCACUGACAUGUUAGUAUAAAAAUAUUUCCCUCAGAGGCCAGCCCCGUGGCCGAGCGGUUAAGUUCGCACGCUCCGCUUCGGUGGCCCAGGGUUUCGCCGGUUCGGAUCCUGGGCACAGACAUGGCACCGCUCGUCAGGCCAUGCUGAAGCGGCAUCCCACAUGCCACAACUAGAAGGACCCACAACUAAAAAUAUGCAACUAUGUACUGGGGGGCUUUGGGGAGAAAAAGGAAAAAUAAAAUUUUUUAAAAAAU
rnacentral:lncRNA from 1 species